rnacentral:rRNA from 1 species
CCGCAACCCUCGACCUUAGUUGCCAGCAUUCGAGUUGGGCACUCGUAAGGUGACUGCCGGCUAAAGUCGGAGGAAGGUGGGGAUGACGUCAAAUCAUCAUCGCCCCUUAUGACCUGGGCUACACACGUGCUACAAGUGGGCGGUAACGAAAGGGUCGCGAACCCGCGAGGGGGAGCCAAUCCCAAAAAGCCGCUCUCAGUUCGGAUUGCAGGCUGCAACUCGCCUGCAUGAAGCCGGAAUCGCUAGUAAUCGCGGAUCAGCAUGCCGCGGUGAAUACGUUCCCGGGCCUU